UUACAAAAAAAUAAAUAAUAAUUUACAAAAAAAAUUAAUAAUAAUGAAAUUUGAUUGACAACGGGAUGGCGGACAGAUGUUAAAGUAUCUCGUUAGGCUAUUACUAAAAGUUCUAUCUACUUUAAAGGCUGGCAGGGCAAGUAGGUAAAACCGAUGGAAAGAUUUCUAUAUAGGUCGUCGAUUGUAUUUGCCAUUAGCUCGUUCAUGCAACGAGAGGACACGAGAAAAUACAACGUUACAAAUAAUUUACGAUGAUAGUUGGAUAAGAAGCGUAUAAUUACUGAUAAGAUUAAUCUAAUCAAUUAAGAUUGCGAUUAGAAAAGUAUUUCUUUAUUUUAAGCAUUAACAUAACGACAUUAUUAUAAUAUCCUACAUCAUAAAGAUUUGUAAUCACGCGACAUGUUCAAAUUUUCUUAAGUUAACCACGAAUUAUCGAUCAUCUACGAAACCUAAGACAAAUAUCAUGAUUUUUUGUAUCCCAUGAGUCAUUGUCAGCAUGAUUCUCUCUUCAUCACCUAACGGUUCAUUUAUAUACGUAUGAGAGUGUAUUUUAUCGUUGGGACAGGCAAAGAAACGUGAAAGAGAUGAAAAGAUUCGAGGUGUUUGACCUUUCGAAUAAUACACGUAGAUUACUCUACUGACUAUUGCAACGAAAUUAUUUCCAAAGAUAAAUAUCCGUUAUGCCAUUAUUGUGCGCUGAAGGAGGAUACAAUUUUCUGAUGUAAAUUGUGUUAAAUGUUAAAACAAGAAGGAGGAGGAGCAGCAAAAAAAUAAAACAAGUAUUAACAAGCAUAAGGGCAACACGCAACGAUAAAAGGAAUCCUAAACCCCGGCCUGGUAUCGAUCGGCGGAUGCUUCGAAGCGAAGUGUACUCCUAUUUUCAGCACCGCAUUGCGGCAGAAGCGAGGUUAGCACGAUUCCAAUGAUGUCUUAUUAUACUUCUACUAUAUUCUUCAGUAUCUAAAAUAUGUACACGUUUGUACGA
rnacentral:lncRNA from 1 species